UACGUAGGGUGCGAGCGUUAAUCGGAAUUACUGGGCGUAAAGCGUGCGCAGGCGGUUCGCUAAGACCGAUGUGAAAUCCCCGGGCUUAACCUGGGAACUGCAUUGGUGACUGGCGGGCUAGAGUAUGGCAGAGGGGGGUAGAAUUCCACGUGUAGCAGUGAAAUGCGUAGAGAUGUGGAGGAAUACCGUUGGCGAAGGCAGCCCCCUGGGCCAAUACUGACGCUCAUGCACGAAAGCGUGGGGAGCAAACAGG
rnacentral:rRNA from 1 species